rnacentral:rRNA from 1 species
ACGGGGCGCAGCAGGCGCGAAACCUUUACACUGCACGCCAGUGCGAUAAGGGGAUCCCGAGUGCACAGGCAUAGAGCCUGUGCUUUUCUGAACCGUAGGGAGGUUCAGGAACAAGAGCUGGGCAAGACCGGUGCCAGCCGCCGCGGUAAUACCGGCAGCUCGAGUGAUGGCCGAUCUUAUUGGGCCUAAAGCGUCCGUAGCUGGCCUUGCAAGUCCGUCGGGAAAUCCACCCGCUCAACGGGUGGGCGUCCGGCGGAAACUGUGAGGCUUGGGACCGGGAGGCUUGAAGGGUACGUCCGGGGUAGGAGUGAAAUCCCGUAAUCCUGGACGGACCGCCGAUGGGGAAACCACUUCAAGAGAACGGAUCCGACAGUGAGGGACGAAAGCUAGGGUCUCGAACCGGAUUAGAUACCCCUGUAGUCC